AGUUCGAUCUGGCUCGAUUGAACGCUGGCGGGAUGCUUUACACAUGCAAGUCGAACGGCAGCACGGACUUCGGUCUGGUGGCGAGUGGCGAACGGGUAGGAGGUAAUGUAUCGGAACGUGCCUAGUAGCGGGGGAUAACUACGCGAAAGCGUAGCUGUACCGCAUACGCCUUCGAGAAGCGGGGGACCUUCGGGCCUCGCACUAUUGAACGGCCGAUAUCGGAUUAGCUAGUUGGUGGGGUAACGGCUCUGGGCGACGAUCCGUAGCUGGUUUGAAGAGGACGACCAGCCACACUGGGACUGGAACACGGCCGAACUCCUACGGGAGGCAGCAGUGGGGAAUUUUGGACAAUGGAAACCCUGAUCCAGCCAUCCCGCGUGUGCGAUGAGCCGCUGGGUUGUAAAGCACUUUUGGCAGGAAAGAAACGGCACGGGAUAAUACCCCGUGCAACUGAUAAUGACCUGCAGAAUAAGCACCGGCUAACUACGUGCCAGCAGCCGCCUUGGUAAUACGUAGGGUGCAAGCGUUAAUCGGAAUUACUGGGCGUAAAGCGUGCGCAGGCGGUUCGGAAAGAAAGAUCUUGAAAUCCCAGAGCUUAACUUUGGAACUGCAUUUUUAACUACCGAGCUAGAGUGUGUCAGAGGGAGGUGGAAUUCCGCGUGUAGCAGUGAAAUGCGUAGAUAUGCGGAGGAACACCGAUGGCGAAGGCGACCUCCUGGGAUAACGCGACGCUCAUGCACAGCGUGGGGAGCAAACAGGAUUAGAUACCCUGGUAGUCCACGCCCUAAACGAUGUCAACUAGCUGUUGGGGCCUUCGGGCCUUACAGGUAGCGCAGCUAACGCGUGAAGUUGACCGCCUGGGAGUACGGUCGCAGAAGAUUAAAGGAAAGCUCAAGGAGUUUGACGGGGACCGCACAAGCGGUGGAUGAUGUGGAUUAAUUCGAUGCAACGCGAAAGAAAACCUUUACCUACCCUUGACAUGUCUGGAAUCCCGAAGAGAUUUGGGAGUGCUCGCAAGAGAACCGGAACACAGGUGCUGCAUGGCUGUCGUCAGCUCGUGUCGUGAGAUGUUGGGUUAAGUCCACAACGAGCGCAACCCUUGUCAUUAGUUGCUACGAAAGGGCACUCUAAUGAGACUGCCGGUGACAAACCGGAGGAAGGUGGGGAUGACGUCAAGUCCUCAUGGCCCUUAUGGGUAGGGCAUCACACGUCAUACAAUGGUCGGGACAGAGGGUCGCCAACCCGCGAGGAGGGAGCCAAUCCCAGAAACCCGAUCGUAGUCCGGAUCGCAGUCUGCAACUCGACUGCGUGAAGUCGGAAUCGCUAGUAAUCGCGGAUCAGCAUGUCGCGGUGAAUACGUUCUGAUUUGUACACACACCGCCCGUCACACCAUGGGAGUGGGUUUUACCAGAAGUAGUUAGCCUAACCGUAAGGAGGGCGAUUACCACGGUAGGAUUCAUGACUGGGGUGAAGUCGUAACAAAGGUAG
rnacentral:rRNA from 1 species